rnacentral:lncRNA from 1 species
GUUUAAGCAUGCUCAAAGAAGUCAACCAAACAUGUAUCCACUUCAAAAAAUCAUAAAUCAGUGAUAACAUAUGAGAAAUGAAUGGGAUCAACACCAUGACAAAGCUUAAGAUGUCUACUAAUCACAUAUAAAAUUUCAAGUUCAUCCAAUAAAGUAUGAGAAUUUCACAAAUGAAAUGGGAACAUGUGUCACAAAAAGUCAACAUAUGACUAAACAGGUGAGAAAAUCUCAAACAAUUAGGAAAUGCCACAAAUAAUUCCAAGAAAAUUCACAUGUAAACUAGACAUCCAAGAGUAUGUUCAUGCAAAAAUUCAAGCCAAUUUGAGGUCAAGAGGCAUGGUAAUGAAAAUCAUCAAGUUGCACAUCAAUGGUGUGACACA